GCAUUGGUCGUGCAGGGUGCAUACAACCGCUUCGUAGUAAAGACGCGAGAUGCACUGGUUGGAUCCGGGGUUCGACUCCCUGCCGAUGCA